AUUUCUGUUAAUAAUUUAUAUAUAAUAUUUGAUUAAUAUUUAUAUAAUAUUAACAUAAUUCAUAUUACUAAAUUUAUUAGUAUAUGAAAUUUUACUUUGAGAAAAUUAGAGUGCUUAAAGCAGGCAUAUGCCUUGAAUACUCCAGCAUGGAAUAAUAUUAAAGAUUUUUAUCUUUCUUAUUGGUUCUAAGAUAAAAAUAAUGAUUAAUAGGGACAGUUGGGGGCAUUUGUAUUUAACAGUCAGAGGUGAAAUUCUUAGAUUUGUUAAAGACAAACUAAUGCGAAAGCAUUUGCCAAGGAUGUUUUCAUUAAUCAAGAACGAAAGUUAGGGGAUCGAAGACGAUCAGAUACCGUCGUAGUCUUAACCAUAAACUAUGCCAACUAGAGAUUGGAGGUUGUUCCUUACUCCUUCAGCACCUUAA
rnacentral:rRNA from 1 species